CCAGUACACACCACCCUCUUCACUUCGCCGCCGCCACCGCUGGCGACGGCGACCGCGAGCCUCCGCUAUCCGACCUUACCUCGCCGCUGCCGCUGCCGCCGGCUGGGAGAGUGAGGGGCGGACGCGCGGAGGACGGUGCAGGCGCUUCGGUUACGGUCGGCCGAGGACCUGCAGCGAGUUCGGUUCGAUCCGACAUGCUUAAUUCGAAAUAAACAGGACAAAUCAGGAAUCUUGAAGCGCAUCAGGUAGCUUAGCUUGGUCUGAACUUCACCAGAAUGUAGAAGAGAUUAUGCAGGAUUGCAAAUAUCUUGUACCUAAGGUGAGAAUACAGCAAUCGUUGUGCUCUUGUUGGAAAUACAAAGAAAAUUGAAGCUCCAAAUAUGUUCUUACUAUAAUCUUGCUAAUCGUACUACCAUUGCAAGAGUACCAAUCAAUCAGAGCACUACAAACAUGUGGCCUUGGAUUUCACAUGCCAUUUUCACUAUGAAUGGCAUUUUUCGAUUGACAAUCUAUUUGCGGUGGCACUGAUCUCGGUUUGUCUUGGAAGAACUAGUGACAAAAAUGUGCCAAUACGUGUGUUACCAGCUAAAGUAUCUUGUAUCCAGUAAAUAUGUUGGCAGAAGAACUAGGAUUAAUUUUGAAGAGUGGCCUAAUCUGAAACGUGCUCCAUCUUGUGUUCAUUUGUUGCCUGGUAUGCAUCUUGUCUAUCCCGUGGAACUCAAUGAGAGGAUGAUAGCAAUCUAACUGGAGUGUAGAAUGUUGGAAGCUCAAGGUAUGAUUUCUCACUGUUAUAUAUACUUCAUCUCUUGCUAAUACAUGAGACAUUUGCUUGCUGCGCCAUGGCCUAUGUAAUCUUACUAGGAGUAGGUAGGAGCAAUUACUAUUGACUUGUUAUAAAUGGCCUCAGGUGUUCAUGAUACAAGUAAUGUCCAUUGUUUUCUCCAAGUAUUAUUCUUCACAAGAGUGCUCUAAACCAACCAUCUGUCUAGAUUAUGGAAUAGGCACACUAUAACAUGAAAUCAGUACAUGCAUUUACAUGUUGUCAACAAAAAUGUGUUGUUUAAUUUGAUUGGCACUAAACUAGGGUAUGCCAUCAUUUGAACUUGGGGGUCAGACAUGCAAAAGGUAAGCAAAACAUGCUGAACUAAAUGAAAGUUGGAUUCUGGUACCGCUUGGACAACCAAACCGCACAGUCCUACCAAAUUUUUGUGAGACCAAAGGAAGAGGAAGUAGCACUUAAGAACAAUAGGAAUGGGAGGCACUUUUCCUUCAUGUUCCCAUUUCUACAGCUCUUAUAUAAACCUUCUUUCUCCCUCUUCCCAAUCUCACUCUCAAGGUCCAGCCCAUCACUCGAAAUGCGGACAUCUUUUCCUACUAGACAAAUGUGCGAGACGAGAAGGAAGGGGAAGGAGCACCCAAGAACAAUAGGAAUGCGAGGCAUCAGAAAAAAAAAAAGCCGAACGUCGAAGAAAUUUAGAGCUCAUGCUUUCCACCAUGUUCCUAUUCCCCCUUCUCUUGAUUUCUUGAACCCUCUCAUUCUUUCCCUUCCCUAGCUCACCCUCCCUGCUGCCAAGUGCUGUGCAGAACUCGGAAAAUAAGCUAUGUGAGUGAUGAGCAAUGAGCACUCCUACUGCACGGUGUACCAUACUUCCAGUCCAUAGGACAUAUCAGUGAUGGCAGUGGGACUAUAUGGAUUUUGUGUUGUAAAUGUAGAUGAACACAUUUUUGGCUGUAGGGAGGUGGUCUUCUACUCUUGCAUAUCAA